rnacentral:rRNA from 3 species
AGUCUCCUGAAGGAACGUUGAAGACGACGACGUUGAUAGGCCGGGUGUGUAAGCGCAGCGAUGCGUUGAGCUAACCGGUACUAAUGAACCGUGAGGCUUAACCCU